rnacentral:rRNA from 1 species
CACGGAGUUAGCCGAUCCUUAUUCUUACGAUACCGUCAAGCUCCAACACGUUGGAGUGUUUCUUCUCGUACAAAAGCAGUUUACAAUCCAUAGGACCGUCAUCCUGCACGCGGCAUGGCUGGAUCAGGCUUGCGCCCAUUGUCCAAUAUUCCUCACUGCUGCCUCCCGUAGGAGUCUGGUCCGUGUCUCAGUACCAGUGUGGGGGAUCUCCCUCUCAGGACCCCUACCCAUCGUAGCCUUGGUAAGCCGUUACCUUACCAACCAGCUAAUGGGACGCAUGCUCAUCUUUCACCGUUGUGACUUUAAUAAUAUCCUGAUGCCAGGUCAUUAUACUAUGAGGUAUUAAUCCAAAUUUCUCUGGGCUAUCCCUCUGUGAAAGGCAGAUUGCAUACGCGUUACGCACCCGUGCGCCGGUCUCUAGCACCGAAGUGCUAUACCCCUCGACUUGCAUGUGUUAAGCCUGCCGCUAGCGUUCAU